UGAAGAUGGAAAGAGCCAUUGGGUGU
rnacentral:piRNA from 1 species